rnacentral:rRNA from 1 species
UACGUAGGUCCCGAGCGUUGUCCGGAUUUAUUGGGUUUAAAGGGUGCGUAGGCGGGCCUUUAAGUCAGCGGUAAAAAUUCGGGGCUCAACCCCGUCCGGCCGUUGAAACUGGGGGCCUUGAGUGGGCGAGAAGAAGGCGGAAUGCGUGGUGUAGCGGUGAAAUGCAUAGAUAUCACGCAGAACCCCGAUUGCGAAGGCAGCCUUCCGGCGCCCUACUGACGCUGAGGCACGAAAGUGCGGGGAUCGAACAGG